UAGGAAAGUCCGAAGCUAAUUAGGCAUAAACAUAUAAAGAUGUAUGUUAAGUAAAAACUUGGGUAUUAAGUAGAAAAUAAUUAAUAUAUUCAUAUAAGUUAAUUAUAACUAAAUGUAUAAAUAUAUAUUAAUAUUAUACAGUUAAAUAGUAUUAACGAACUUGCAAGCUCUAUGUCAAGCAUUAAUAUAGAUUAAUAAUUAUGACAGGACUCGGCUUAA
rnacentral:RNase_P_RNA from 1 species